UACGUAGGAAGCGAGCGUUGUCCGGAAUCACUGGGCGUAAAGCGCGUGUAGGCGGUACGGCAAGUCUGCUGUGAAAGCGCCCGGCUUAACCGGGCGAGGUCGGCGGAAACUGCUGAACUGGAGGACGGUAGAGGGGGGUGGAAUUCCCGGUGUAGUGGUGAAAUGCGUAGAGAUCGGGAGGAACACCUGUGGCGAAGGCGGCGUCCUGGACCAACACUGACACUGAUGAGCGAAAGCCAGGGGAGCAAACGGG
rnacentral:rRNA from 1 species